rnacentral:tRNA from 3 species
UUUGAAUUAGCUCAUUGGGUAGAGCAAAGGACUCAUAAUCCUUGUGUAACAGGUUCGACUCCUGUAUUCAAAACCA